CAACUUUUGACAAUGGAUCUCAUGGUUCUCGCAACGAUGAAGAACGCAGCAAAAUGCGAUAAGUAGUGUGAAUUGCAGAAUACGUGAAUCAUCGAAUCUUCGAACGCAUAUUG
rnacentral:rRNA from 1 species